UACGUAGGGUGCAAGCGUUGUCCGGAAUUAUUGGGCGUAAAGAGCUCGUAGGCGGUUUGUCGCGUCUGCUGUGAAAACCUGGGGCUUAACUCCGGGCCUGCAGUGGGUACGGGCAGACUAGAGUGCGGUAGGGGAGACUGGAAUUCCUGGUGUAGCGGUGAAAUGCGCAGAUAUCAGGAGGAACACCAGCGGCGAAGGCGGCUCACUGGUCCAUUACUGACGCUGAGGUGCGAAAGCGUGGGGAGCAAACAGGAUUAGAAACCCGUGUAGU
rnacentral:rRNA from 1 species